rnacentral:rRNA from 1 species
CGCUCUCCUUGGACAGCCUUCUGAAAGGAAGAUUAAUACAAGAUGGCAUCAUGAGUCCGCAUGUUCACAUGAUUAAAGGUAUUCCGGUAGACGAUGGGGAUGCGUUCCAUUAGAUAGUAGGCGGGGUAACGGCCCACCUAGUCUUCGAUGGAUAGGGGUUCUGAGAGGAAGGUCCCCCACAUUGGAACUGAGACACGGUCCAA